UACAGAGGUCCCAAGCGUUGCUCGGAAUCACUGGGCGUAAAGCGCACGUAGGCGGACUCUUAAGUCGGUGGUGAAAUCCUGGAGCUCAACUCCAGAACUGCCUUCGAUACUGAGAGUCUCGAGUCCGGGAGAGGUGAGUGGAACUGCGAGUGUAGAGGUGAAAUUCGUAGAUAUUCGCAAGAACACCAGUGGCGAAGGCGGCUCACUGGCCCGGUACUGACGCUGAGGUGCGAAGGCGUGGGGAGCAAACAGG
rnacentral:rRNA from 1 species